GCACGCACGCAUGGCACUACCGACUCGCCGGGCUGGAUCUCAUGGUGAUUCGCUCGCUCCUCGCCGUCGUCGCGCUGCCUCGCUUAGUCGCUUCGCUGGUGCCGGGCGGGCGCGUUGGCGUCCGUGCACCGGCCGCGCGGGGCAGCAGGGCAAGGAGAGGGAGCAGUGCCACCGGCCGUUUCGUCGUCGCGCCGGCGCGGCGGGAGAGGCUCUUCCUCCGGAGAAGGGAAGGGACGGGUGGAACGGCGCAGCCGGCCCUGGCCGACGCCGCCGGCGCAGGAACAGAAGAGGGUCGUGGAGAGACCCGCGCUCGUGAGGGUUUGGGCCUGGCGGGCCGGGCCGAGAAAAGAGCCCGCAAGCCCAGGUAGUGCCCAAAGCCCGGUAAGGCGAUGGCGUGUCAGGCUGGCACCUUGAAAUACUCGCCUCUUGGCGCCCGAAGCGGCCACCGCCUCUGCUCUUCGGCUGUCCAGCAGCGCCGACAGCGACCGAUGGACCAGUUCCCCCCCGACGGGUACCCCGUGCGGCUGCGGAGCGCCGUGCACGGCACCUACCUCCGCGCCGACAAGGACGGGCAUGGCGUCUCACUCAGCCGUCGUCGGAAGUCCAUGAAGGUGGCGUGGGUGGUGCACCGCUACUUCGGGGACGACCAGCACGUGCUCCUCCACAGCGCCGCCUACGGCCGCUACCUCUCCGCCACCGAAGCCCCGGCGCCGCGUGACUGCCCCGGCUUCCGCGUCGCGCUGCGUAACUACGACGAGCUUGAGGAUGAGGCCAUCAGGUGGUAGCCCAUCAGGGUCCAGCCUGGGGACGAGAUCCUGCUCUGCCGCCACGUCGCCCAGGGCGACCGCCACGGCUACCUCCGCGCCAACGGGAAGUACCUCCCCUGGAAGGACAGCAUCGUCAGCGUCCACGAUGUCAACAACAUCAGCACCAUGAUGCAGUGGGUGGUGGAGCUCGUCCCCAGCAGCGAGCGCAUCCCCCGCCUUCCACGUCCGUCUAGGCUCCACCUCUCUGUCCUGCUGUCGUCGCGGUCGCGGAUGGUGGUGUUCACGGGGAACGGCGAAUGGUGCUACGCUGCCGCCGUUAAUUUCAAUUUCAGGGGAAGGUUCGUGUACCACCUGAGGAACGAGCUGGCCAGACGGCUGGGCAUCCCAGGGAACGUCUCCAACAACCUCGUCAUGUACGUCCGAGCGGGCAGAUACGGGCGCAAUACCCCACUCGUCGCCAACCUAUCCCACAGCACAGAGAUCCUCUAAUCACGGGCGAUAUGCCAGAAAACGGGGGGCCACGACACCCAGAUUUCGAUGCAGAGUAGAGAAAGUCCAGAGCAGGUCUCCUUGCCUUCCAGUUAACCUCUUCAGAAGUGUCGCUGCCUCGGACACUGUGACAUGGAGAAAUCUUAAUUUUUUUGCAUAGAGAUAUAGGUUGAGAAAACCUCUGUGGCUCUUGUGUUUCUGGCGAAACUCAUCUGUUCUAGUGACAUUGCUUUGACCACGCGGUUCUAAAAGUUCAGAACCUGAUUGAAUAAUAAUGCAGUGACGUUGGUCUUUAAUGGCCAUGUUCUUAU